AGGGUGUGCUCGGAGCAUGGGGCCUAAAAAAUAGCUCCUCUGUUUAUAACACACCUGACAGGAAUCUAGGGUCAUUGUGAUGAGGGGCACAAAACUUGUGGCCUCCCUACAAAAAGACUCCUUUCAUGU